rnacentral:rRNA from 1 species
CUAGCGUUGCUCGGAAUCACUGGGCGUAAAGCGCACGUAGGCGGCUUCUUAAGUCGGUGGUGAAAUCCUGGAGCUCAACUCCAGAACUGCCUUCGAUACUGGGAAGCUCGAGUCCGGGAGAGGUGAGUGGAACUGCGAGUGUAGAGGUGAAAUUCGUAGAUAUUCGCAAGAACACCAGUGGCGAAGGCGGCUCACUGGCCCGGUACUGACGCUGAGGUGCGAAAGCGUGGGGAGCAAACAGG